ensembl:lncRNA
GGUGGGAAAUGAGAAUUUCCUUGGUAGAAAAUGCAGAAUUUCCCUGGUGAGAAAUGGAAAUUUUCCAGGUGGGAAAUGGGGAAUUUUCCUGGUGAGAAAUGGGGAAUUUCCUGAUUGUAAAUGGGAAUUUUCCAGGUGUGAAAGGAGGAAUUUUCCAGGUGUGAAAUGGAGAAUUUUCCUGGUGGGAAAUGGGAAUUUCCUUGGUAGAAAAUGCAGAAUUUUCCUGGGAAAUGGGAAUUGUCCCACCCUGGGAUAUCCCCAGCCCUGGCUGGGCCUUUGAGCAAAGGAAAUUUUAGGGAUGGAGCUGCAAACCCAACACGGCACACGAGGCCCCGCUGGGCAGAUCCCUGCUGGUUUCUGUUGUACAGAAGAAUUCCGAUUAUUCCGAUUAUUCCGAUUAUUCCCGUGAUUUUUUUGGUUUGGGGUCGGUUUUUUUUUGGGGUUGGUUUUUUUUGGGGUUUUGGGUUUUUUUGGGGGUUUUUUUUCUUUGUGCAAUAAAGUUUUGUUUUGGCAGAACGGAGCCUGCGCUGUUCCUCGGUGGGAAUUCUGAUGGAAUCACGGCAGCCCAGGGCAGCAUUCCCAGUUUUUCCCAGUGUUUUCCUGGUUUUCCCCAAUCUGGGGCGUUUCCACCCAAAGCAGGCAGUGCUUUUCCAGCGCACAGAACUUCCCAAACUCGGGAAUUUUUGUACAAAAAUUUUUAUUAUUCCCUGGGAUUGGGGAGGGAGCCAGGGAGGGAUUCCAGGGGGGAUUCCAGGAGGGAUUUCAGGAGGGAUUUCAGGAGGGAUUCCCAAAGAUUCCAGGAGGGAUUUCAGGAGGGAUUCCCAAAGAUUCCAGCUGGGAUUCCUGAGGAUCCAGGGAGGGAUUCAAGGGGGGAUUCCAAGAGGGAUUUCAGAAGGGAUUCCCAAAGAUUCCAGCUGGGAUUUCAGGAGGGAUUCCCAAGGAUCCUGGGUGGGAAUUCCAGCUGGGAUUCCGAUGACUCGAGGAGCAAUUCCCAAGGAAUCCCAGGAGGGAUUAAAGGGGAGAUUCCUGAAGGAUCCUGGGAGGGAUUCCAGCUGGAAUUCCGGAGGGUUUCAGGAGGGAUUCCAGGAGGAAUUCCUGAGGAUUCCAGAGGGGAUUCCAGGAGGGAUUCCCAAGGAUCCUGGGUGGGAAUUCCAGCUGGGAUUCCGAGGGCUCCAGGAAGGAGAUUCCCAAGGAUUUGAGGAGGGAUUAAAGGGGAGAUUCCUGAGGAUCCUGUGAGAGAUUCCAGCUGGAAUUCCAGAGGGUUUCAGGAAGGAUUCCAGGAGGAAUUCCUGAGGAUUCCAGAGGGGCUUCCAGGAGGGAUUCCCAAGGAUGCUGGGUGGGAAUUUCAGCUGGGAUUCCAAGGACUCGAGGAGCAAUUCCCAAGGAAUCCCAGGAGGGAUUCCAGGAGGGAUUCCCAAGGGUGCUGGGCGGGAAUUCCAGCCGGGAUCCCGAGGGUUCCGGGGUUGUUCCCGGGUAUCCCAGGNCCUGCACUGGUUGGGGUUUAUUUUUUUUGGUUUCUUUUUUUCUUUUUUUUUUUUUUUCUUUUUUCCCAGGUUUAUUAUAUUUUUUUUUCCUUCAUUUCGAUUAAAGAAUGAGCUCUAGACUGCAAAUCCUUGAGAGCUUUUGUGCUCCGGGGCAGGGCUGGGGAGAGCUGGGGCCUCCCUGGUGUCUCUCUUCUAGGCAAACCAAAGAAUUCAGGAAUUGUCCCUGCUGGAAUUUUGGGGGCUCCCCCUCCCCAGAACUCUGCUCCAGCCUUUGGAGACUUCAUGUGGAGAAUGGGAACUGCAGGAAUCCGUGGAUUUGUGCGCCCUGGAGGUUUGGGCAAAGGGAGGACGAGAUGAGAUUGUGUUUGUUUGGUGGCGUUUUGAAUUUUCAGCCUUUUUUGGGAGGGGGUCUCUCCUGCUUGGAGCUGUGCUGGAAUUCUCUGUGGUGUCCCUGCUGUCCCCACCCAUGGGACGCUGCCAGCGGGCUCUGGGAUGGACAAACUCAAUCCUUUGCCAAAUCUGGUGAAAUUCUGCGGUUUUGGGGCUGCCCAGAGCCCGUUUUUGGGAGAUGUGUGCUGGGGGUGGCACGGGGAGGUGGCGGUGGCAGCGCCAGCCCGGCCUGGAGGGGACGAUUCCCACUGGAGCCGGAGAUGGAGGAUUCAUUGUCACUGUAGGGAUGUGAAAUUGCAGCAAAUCCUGGCCAAAAUGCAGCAAAUCCUGCCCAAAAUGCAGCAAAUCCUGCCCAAAAUCCU